rnacentral:rRNA from 1 species
GACAGAGGGUGCAAACGUUGCUCGGAAUUACUGGGCGUAAAGCGCGUGUAGGUGGCUUGGUGUGUCAGAUGUGAAAGCCCUGGGCUCAACCCAGGAACUGCACCUGAAACUACCAGUCUUGAGUGGUGGAGAGGGAAGUGGAAUUCCUGGUGUAGAGGUGAAAUUCGUAGAUAUCAGGAGGAACACCAGUGGCGAAGGCGGCUUCCUGGACACUAACUGACGCUGAGACGCGAAAGCGUGGGGAGCAAACAGG